rnacentral:rRNA from 1 species
UACGUAGGGUGCAAGCGUUGUCCGGAAUUAUUGGGCGUAAAGAGCUUGUAGGCGGUUUGUCGCGUCUGCUGUGAAAUUUCGGGGCUCAACCCCGAACUUGCAGUGGGUACGGGCAGACUAGAGUGUGGUAGGGGAGACUGGAAUUCCUGGUGUAGCGGUGAAAUGCGCAGAUAUCAGGAGGAACACCGAUGGCGAAGGCAGGUCCCUGGGCCACUACUGACGCUGAGAAGCGAAAGCAUGGGGAGCGAACGGG